CUCCGGUUGAUCCUGCCGGACCCGACUGCUAUCAGAGUGGGACUAAGCCAUGCGAGUCGACGUAGCAAUGCGUGGCGAACGGCUCAGUAACACGUAGUCAACAUGCCCAGGGGACGUGGAUAACCUCGGGAAACUGAGAAUAAACCACGAUAGGUCACGAUUUCUGGAAUGGAUCAUGGCCUAAAUCUACAUGGCCCCUGGAUUGGACUGCGGCCGAUCAGGCUGUUGGUGAGGUAAUGGCCCACCAAACCUAUAACCGGUACGGGCUCUGAGAGGAGAAGCCCGGAGAUGGGCACUGAGACAAGGGCCCAGGCCCUAUGGGGCGCAGCAGGCGCGAAACCUCUGCAAUAGGCGAAAGCCUGACAGGGUUACUCUGAGUGAUUUCCGCUAAGGGGAUCUUUUGGCACCUCUAAAAAUGGUGCAGAAUAAGGGGUGGGCAAGUCUGGUGUCAGCCGCCGCGGUAAUACCAGCACCCCGAGUGGUCGGGACGAUUAUUGGGCCUAAAGCAUCCGUAGCCGGUUCUACAAGUCUUCCGUUAAAUCCAGCCGCUCAACGGAUGGGCCGCGGAGGAUACUACAGGACUAGGAGGCGGGAGAGGCAAGCGGUACUCAGUGGGUAGGGGUAAAAUCCUUUGAUCCAUUGAAGACCACCAGUGGCGAAGGCGGCUUGCCAGAACGCGCUCGACGGUGAGGGAUGAAAGCUGGGGGAGCAAACCGGAUUAGAUACCCGGGUAGUCCCAGCUGUAAACGAUGCAGACUCGGUGAUGGGCUAGCCUUGUGCCAGCCCAGUGCCGCAGGGAAGCCGUUAAGUCUGCCGCCUGGGGAGUACGGUCGCAAGACUGAAACUUAAAGGAAUUGGCGGGGGAGCA
rnacentral:rRNA from 1 species